AAGAAAAAACAUGCCGCUAGCAAAAGAUUUACUGCACCCUCUGCCCGCUGAGGAGAAACGCAAGCACAAGCUAAAGCGCUUGGUGCAGCACCCCAACUCCUACUUCAUGGAUGUCAAGUGCCCCGGAUGCUACAGAAUUACAACUGUGUUCAGUCACGCCCAGGGCGUUGUGGUCUGUGCUGGUUGCGCCACCAUUCUGUGCCAGCCAACUGGAGGACGUGCCAAGCUGACAGAAGGCUGCUCGUUCCGUAGGAAGCCACAAUAAAAAUGGGGACGCUUCUUGAUGAACCACAAAUUAUUAAUUUUUUAAUAAACACUCUAAAAACGCGUCGCUUAUUACGCUUUGCAAAUGGAGUGGAUACAAGUGAAACAAGCAACUUCGGCGGCGGCAGCAGCAAUAACAAUUUUGAUAAGUAGUUUUCUCAACUGUAUG
rnacentral:misc_RNA from 1 species